rnacentral:rRNA from 1 species
ACUCCUACGGGAGGCAGCAGUGGGGAAUUUUGGACAAUGGGCGCAAGCCUGAUCCAGCCAUGCCGCGUGAGUGAAGAAGGCCUUCGGGUUGUAAAGCUCUUUCAGACGGAAAGAAAUCUCUCAGGAUAAUACCUUGGGAGGAUGACGGUACCGUAAGAAGAAGCACCGGCUAACUACGUGCCAGCAGCCGCGGUAAUACGUAGGGUGCGAGCGUUAAUCGGAAUUACGUGGGCGUAAAGCGUGCGCAGGCGGUAAUGUAAGACAGAUGUGAAACUCCCCGGGCUCAACCUGGGAACUGCGUUUGUGACUGCAUCACCUGAGUACGGCAGAGGAGGUGGAAUUCCGCGUGUAGCAGUGAAAUGCGUAGAUAUGCGGAGGAACACCGAUGGCGAAGGCAGCCUCCUGGGCCAGUACUGACGCUCAUGCACGAAAGGCUGGGAGCAAACAGGAUUAGAUACCCCUGGUAGACUGUCA